rfam:Camelus ferus unplaced genomic scaffold scaffold277, whole genome shotgun sequence.
GAGGGUAUAGCUCAAGUGGUAGAGCACAUGCUUAGCAUGCACAAGGCCCUGGGUUCAGUCCCCAGCACCUCCU